AUGCUGAGAGACAGAGACAGAGACGGGGACAGAGAGACAGACACAGAGAGAUUCAAUAGAUGGUGUUGCUAUAUGGUUGGUUGUUGUGGUUGUCUGAAGUACUUCUACUCUGUCUUCGGAUGUCUAAUCUGCUCCUGGCAUCAGUGGCCUAGAACCUUGCUGAAGAGUUAUGAAAUAAAGAAAAGAAGCAGAAAUCGCCUUGUGGGCAAAAGGAAAAAAGGAGAAGUCAAAAGUUUCCCGGUCAAUCUGUCAUCCUGCUGCAAUUCCUGGCCCUUUCUUCCACCAGCUGCAACUAUCUAUCUUCCCUUACACAUAAGUUCAGGACAGCCUCAGACUCCUGAAGGGAUUCACCUGCUUUUGUUCAUUUUUGUUAAUUCUCCCUUGAUUCCUGUAAUUUCAUCGGGCUUAAUUUGA
rnacentral:lncRNA from 12 species